AAAACAUAAUUAACACCAUUUGAUCUUUGGUCAAAAAUUAUAAUACUACAUUAGAGUUGUUUGAUUUUCGUUUCAUUAUGGUUUUGGUUGGGGUUUUUUUUGGUUUUUGGUUUUUUUGGGGGGUUUUGGUUUUUUUUUAAGAAGCAACAGUAGUAUUCCCAGUUCUAAGGGUAUAUUGAGAAUAAGCCAGAGUCCAGAGAGGCUCCAGAAUCUCUGCUGGCUCCCCUGUUGUUUGCUAUUUUCUGAUGCUCUCUGCUUUGCAGGGCAGAAAAGACAUGAAGACACUGCAGCCCAAGGGUUUCUUCCCAAGGAAACAAACUAGAUUCUUCUACAACCAGCCUGCUUGAUAACAAUGAUUGUUUCAGAAAGGAGUUUUUUCAGGAGAUCCUGAACAACUUUUGCAAAAGCCAAUUCCCUAGUCCUUACCACCCUCAGCUUUUCCUGAGAGAGAAAAGAAAGAGAAAACUGACUGAAGCAGUUCUGAAACAGGCUCACAAUGCUCAGACUCUAUAGGUGAUGUACUCAAGACACGUGGACACGUGGCUGCUUGGGGAAGUGAUGCAAGGACCAUUUCUUGAUGAUGUAGGCACACUGGGCCUCCAGGGAAAAAAGCUACUGAUAUCUCAAGACGCUGUUUUACAUGGAGAAACUGAGGCACAGAAAAUCUGCAGAUGUUUGAUGAAAUCAGAGACAGAUCCAGGAACUGAAGUAGAAGAGCAGUCCCGGCCUUUGAGCAUAUGCCCGGAAAGGAAAUGACUGUGGGCCAAAGGAAAAAGAAAGGAAACAUGCUUUCCACCAUAAAUGAAGCAUUUGUUAUAUGCUGGAAACCUGAGAAGAAAAGAACACUGAUUAUUGAUCCCUUCUCUAACUUUUCAUAUGAUGCAGUUUUAAGAAGACCAAAGGAAGCUGAACCAACAUUUAUAACCUGCAUUGCAAAACUCUCAUCAGUAUGCAGGAGGCUAUCCUUUCAUAGUAACACUCUCAUUGCUUUCUUUUGAAGUUUGGUGGGUUUUUUACUUCAUAUGAAAUGAUUAAAGUUCCUUGUCUUCAGAAAAGAGAGCAUUCCUCCUGCAGAUGCAGUGUGCAGGCUUCUGCAUCACUCUAGCUCUGUUUCUUCACCUUAUCCAGCAAAAAUUUAAAUAAGCUUUAGCAAAACAGUUUGAGAGAACCUCACAGGAGCAUAUCUCACUGGCCACGAUGCACUCCUGGGGUAUAAGUGCCUUGGGGAGAACAUUUGAACUUGAGCUCUCUGUAGAUCAAGUGACUCCAUGAAGAAAGGGUAUUACCUUAUACUCACACUUCUUCGAAAGGCAACUGAAGCCUUUCUAGCUAGAAAUAAAAAAUCUGCAAAUUCUACAUAGAGUUAGGAACUUGCCUGCAUUUCCCUGUAGGCAAAGCUUAUUUUAUAUUUGUACUUUAAACAUUGGCAUCUGUGGCACCUCAAAGUGACUUAUUCUCUCUGAAGCUCAUUGGAACUCAUUGGGAGAGCUGCACGGGCAGCACUGAGCAUUAUGCUAAGUUCUCUGCAUUAAUAUUUCUCACCCUACAUUUCAAUAGAGCCAUUUUUAAGAGUAUCUAAUCAGGAUACUCCUUUGCAUACCAUUGGUCAGCAAAAGAAAUACAAGAAAUGGUGUGGUUUGUGUGCUUUUAGUACUGCAGCCCUUGUCACUGAAAACAAGAUGAAGGCAGUGCAGGAUCUCUAAUAUCACAAAUAACAGGACAGAGCUAUAUAGAACCGAUGUCUCCUGUUGUAGUGCCACUCGCAGUUGUGGUUCUUCUUCUCCUUUGUAAAAUAUAAUUUCCAUUGGUACUUGAUACAAGACAGAAAAGGGACCCUAAGUUACUCACUGUGGGAAAGCACAUUAUAAGGGCUGGGAACUGGCUGAGUAAGUUUUCAGUGUGUUCUAUGGAAUUUCCUUCAGAAGUAUUCAAAGUCUUCAUAAACUUAUGUUAAUACUGACAGAGCUGCACAAGACAGUGCACAGCUUCUUCAGUGCAAAGCUGUGAGCAUCUUUCUAACAGGGGAAAAUGCAUAUUUUUGGACUUACAGGAUAAACACAGCUGAGAAGUUAGUUUUAAUCAGGCUAAUUUUUCUAGUUUAAGAAGACCCCAGGUUUUGCUUUGUCAUGGCUGUGUGAACAGAGGUUUUUAGUAAUGUUAAUCAAAUUGUUAAUGGUAAUAUUGCAAGGUUACAAAAUUACUGUCUCGAAAGUAAAGAUAUAUUGGGGAUGCAGAUUCUUGCAGCUGUUAAAUGCUGUCUUGGACCAUUUAUGAAUGUGCAGUGUGAUGUAAGUCUUCAAAAGAUUGGUUUUUUUCCCCACUGGUCCUGGUAUGUGACUCGGUGUCUGGGGGGAAGGGGUUAUUUCCCAAGCAGGUAUUUUCUUCUUUGUCAUGGUGCUGUUCCAUGGGAGGCCUCUUGCCUUGUUCACUAGUAACUAUCCCAGCCCAGGUCAUAUGACAUACUUGUUCUCCAUGAUUCCUUCUGUGUUCCAUGCCCCAGGUGCUUCAGGAGACUGAAUGAAUUCACCAUCACAUUGUUCUCGUGUGAGAGGGAGGUGGUGUCCUUCCCAUCUGACCAAGAAGCAACUGACAUGUAGAAGAACUCAGGGAAAAUCUUCCCACUAUUUUGGAUAGUCCAGCCUGAAUCCUCUGCAGCCUGAUUUUUUGAGAGCAUCUAACAUUAGCUGUUUGUUUUCGGCUGCAAUUUGCAAGAUGCAGGGUGUUAAUAUUCACUUACAAAUUUUGAUGAUAAAAUAAUUACAGGCAUACACAAUUCCAGAUUCCAUGGAAAUAGUUUUUUUAAAAAAGCACUGUAACAGUGCACUGAUACUUCAGUGACUCAGUUGGCUCCAAUAUAGCAUAAAACAGGUAUUAUAUGAAGAAAAAAUUGCACCCUUUCUACCACAUAUUUAUAGAUAUUUGUUCUUAGGCUAGCACAGAUAGAAUGAAUCUCCAAACUAACAAUCAGGCUGCGAUCAUGAAACUCCCUGACUCAUAUGUGUCAUGCUGUCUCAGGCUCUAUCACUCUGAUGAUAGCUGUUUAUCUUAGAUCACAGCUCUCCUAGACACAGUUUAAAUUAUUUGCCUCUCAAAAGACAGCAGCAGGUUUUCUGCAAGUGAUAAAAAGGAAAAAUAUGCUGAUCAAGUGCAGUACACAAGCUGAAACAUCCAUUAUUUAAGCAUAUUUCAAUUCUUUAAACAUAUCACUCCACAAGUCUUUACUUUCAGCUGCUUGAUCUUGAGAGCCUGUUUAUUGAUUCAAACAGGUGAGGGCAAACCUUUAUAUCUGGGAUGGAUUAUAGAAUUACAGUACUGUUUCUGUGGGAUUUUUUUUCCAUUUCCUUGACUUUAAAAGGGCCUUGCUUCUGUAACUAUGCGUACCUUUAACCCUAUUGUCUUUUGUUGUCUUCCUUUCCCAUUUUGACAAAAGCCUUUGAUGAUUCCUAGUGGUUCCCAGUGUCAGGACCUGCAAGUGGAAAAGUGUUUAGAAGAUACUUAGCAAUUCUUUGAGGAAUUAGAAAGACUUGUCCGUGUUAGAUGCAAACAACUAUGAAAAAUCCAUCCCAGAAUAGCCCAUGAUAGCUUACAGUCCUCUGGGCAAUGUGGAUUUCUGGUCCGAGGGCCACGAGUGAGGCACCUUGCCAUCAUGAACCCAGUCUUAGACACAUGGGUCAGUUUUCUGGACUGCCAGAGAGCCUGCCCUGGCCUCAAGACAGCUUUCUUUUUUUUUUUUCUGGUUUUGGUAAAACUGUGUUGAUGGUGCCCUCAAAAAGAUCUAUCUUUCUUACACCUUUCACCCCUUUCAUAAUGGGAUUGUCCUAACACCUUUAUUUUCAGGAUGAUGGCAAAUACUUGUUACUGAUACAAAUUGUCAUUUCUGUCAAGAAUGGUGUAGCCAGCAGGACAAAUGAGGUGAUCACCUCCCUAUACUUGGCAUUGGUGAGGCUGUAGCUCAAGUACUGCAUUCAGUUUUGGACCCCUCACUUUAAAAAAAGGCAUUGAGGUGCUGGACUGUGUCCAGUCAGUGAAGGGCAACAAGGCUCAUUAAAGGAUCAGAGAACACUUCUUAUGAAGAAUGGCUGGGUUUGUUGAGUCUUGAGAAGGCUCAGGAGGGACCUCAUUGCACACUAAAACUACCUGAAAGGAGGUUGUAGCCACGUGGCAACUGGUCUCUUCUACCGUGCCUGCAGUGAGAGGACCAGAGGAAAUGGCCUUAACUCAGACACUGCAAAUUCAGAUUAGAUAUUAGAAAUUUUUUUUCCCUGUUAGAGUGGUCAAGCAUUGGAAUAGGUUGCCCAGAGAGGUGGCAGAGUCACCAUCCCUGGAGGUGUUUAAGAGGUGUCUGGAUCUGGCGCUGGGUGAUGAGGUUUA